rnacentral:rRNA from 1 species
GACGAACGCUGGCGGCGUGCCUAAUACAUGCAAGUAGAACGCACAGUUUAUACCGUAGCUUGCUACACCAUAGACUGUGAGUUGCGAACGGGUGAGUGACGCGUAGGUAACCUGCCUGGUAGCGGGGGAUAACUAUUGGAAACGAUAGCUAAUACCGCAUAAUAUUAAUUAUUGCAUGAUAAUUAAUUGAAAGGUGCAAUUGCACCACUACCAGAUGGACCUGCGUUGUAUUAGCUAGUAGGUGAGGUAACGGCUCACCUAGGCGACGAUACAUAGCCGACCUGAGGGGGUGAUCGGCCACCCUGGGACUGGGACACGGCCCAGGCUCCUACGGGAGGCAGCAGUAGGGAAUCUUCGGCAAUGGACGGAAGUCUGACCGAGCAACGCCGCGGGAGUGAAGAAGGUUUUCGGAUCGUAAAGCUCUGUUGUAAGAGAAGAACGGGUGUGAGAGUGGAAAGUUCACACUGUGACGGUAUCUUACCAGAAAGGGACGGCUAACUACGUG